rnacentral:rRNA from 1 species
GGUUAAGUGACUAAGCGUACACGGUGGAUGCCUUGGCAGUCAGAGGCGAUGAAAGACGUAGUAACUUGCGAUAAGCCCAGAUUAGGUAGUAACAACCAUUUGAGUCUGGGAUUUCUGAAUGGGGAAACCCACGUGCAUAAGCACGUAUCCUUACCUGAAUACAUAGGGUAAGGAGGCGAACCGGGGGAACUGAAACAUCUAAGUACCCCGAGGAAAAGAAAUCAACCGAGAUUCCGAAAGUAGCGGCGAGCGAAAUUGGACUAGCCCUUAAGCUUUACACGCGUUAGACGAACGGUCUGGAAAGUCCGACGAUACAGGGUGAUAGUCCCGUAGUUGACGACGUGUGUUCAGUGAAAUCGAGUAGGGCGGGACACGUGAUAUCCUGUCUGAAUAUGGGGGGACCAUCCUCCAAGGCUAAAUACUACUGACUGACCGAUAGUGAACCAGUACCGUGAGGGAAAGGCGAAAAGAACCCCUGUGAGGGGAGUGAAAUAGAACCUGAAACCGUGUACGUACAAGCAGUAGGAGCAGGCUUUGUCCUGUGACUGCGUACCUUUUGUAUAAUGGGUCAGCGACUUAUAUUCAGUGGCAAGGUUAACCAUCUAGGGGAGCCGUAGGGAAACCGAGUCUUAACUGGGCGUUCAGUCUCUGGAUAUAGACCCGAAACCAGGUGAUCUAGCCAUGGGCAGGUUGAAGGUUGAGUAACAUCAACUGGAGGACCGAACCGACUAAUGUUGAAAAAUUAGCGGAUGACUUGUGGCUAGGGGUGAAAGGCCAAUCAAACCUGGAGAUAGCUGGUUCUCCCCGAAAGCUAUUUAGGUAGCGCCUCGGACGAAUACUACUGGGGGUAGAGCACUGUUAAGGCUAGGGGGUCAUCCCGACUUACCAACCCUUUGCAAACUCCGAAUACCAGUAAGUACUAUCCGGGAGACACACGGCGGGUGCUAACGUCCGUCGUGGAGAGGGAAACAACCCAGACCGCCAGCUAAGGUCCCAAAUUACUACUAAGUGGGAAACGAUGUGGGAAGGCUCAGACAGCCAGGAUGUUGGCUUAGAAGCAGCCAUCAUUUAAAGAAAGCGUAAUAGCUCACUGGUCGAGUCGGCCUGCGCGGAAGAUGUAACGGGGCUAAGUAGUAAACCGAAGCUGCGGCAAUAUACUUUUGUAUAUUGGGUAGGGGAGCGUUCUGUAAGCGGUUGAAGGUGUGUGGUAACGCAUGCUGGACGUAUCAGAAGUGCGAAUGCUGACAUGAGUAACGAUAAAGGGGGUGAAAAACCUCCUCGCCGGAAGACCAAGGGUUCCUGUCCAACGUUAAUCGGGGCAGGGUAAGUCGACCCCUAAGGCGAGGCCGAAAGGCGUAGUCGAUGGGAAACGGGUUAAUAUUCCCGUACUUCUUACAAUUGCGAUGGGGGGACGGAGAAGGCUAGGUGGGCCUGGCGACGGUUGUCCAGGUUCAAGUGCGUAGGCUUAAGAGUUAGGUAAAUCCGGCUCUUUUUAAGGCUGAGACACGACGUCGAGCAUCUACGGAUGUGAAGUCAUUGAUGCCAUGCUUCCAGGAAAAGCCUCUAAGCUUCAGAUUGUAAGGAAUCGUACCCCAAACCGACACAGGUGGUCGGGUAGAGAAUACCAAGGCGCUUGAGAGAACUCGGGUGAAGGAACUAGGCAAAAUGGUACCGUAACUUCGGGAGAAGGUACGCUCUCGACGGUGAAGUCCCUCGCGGAUGGAGCUAUUGAGAGUCGCAGAUACCAGGUGGCUGCAACUGUUUAUUAAAAACACAGCACUGUGCAAAAUCGUAAGAUGACGUAUACGGUGUGACGCCUGCCCGGUGCCGGAAGGUUAAUUGAUGGGGUUAGACUUCGGUCGAAGCUCUUGAUCGAAGCCCCGGUAAACGGCGGCCGUAACUAUAACGGUCCUAAGGUAGCGAAAUUCCUUGUCGGGUAAGUUCCGACCUGCACGAAUGGCGUAAUGAUGGCCACGCUGUCUCCACCCGAGACUCAGUGAAAUUGAAAUCGCUGUGAAGAUGCAGUGUACCCGCGGCUAGACGGAAAGACCCCGUGAACCUUUACUACAGCUUGGCACUGAACAUUGACCCUACAUGUGUAGGAUAGGUGGGAGGCUUUGAAGCACGUACGCCAGUAUGUGUGGAGCCGUCCUUGAAAUACCACCCUUGUAGUGUUGAUGUUCUAACGUCGACCCCUUAUCGGGGUUGCGGACAGUGCCUGGUGGGUAGUUUGACUGGGGCGGUCUCCUCCCAAAGAGUAACGGAGGAGCACGAAGGUGGGCUAAUCACGGUUGGACAUCGUGAGGUUAGUGCAAUGGCAUAAGCCCGCUUGACUGCGAGAAUGACAAUUCGAGCAGGUGCGAAAGCAGGUCAUAGUGAUCCGGUGGUUCUGAAUGGAAGGGCCAUCGCUCAACGGAUAAAAGGUACUCCGGGGAUAACAGGCUGAUACCGCCCAAGAGUUCAUAUCGACGGCGGUGUUUGGCACCUCGAUGUCGGCUCAUCACAUCCUGGGGCUGAAGUCGGUCCCAAGGGUAUGGCUGUUCGCCAUUUAAAGUGGUACGCGAGCUGGGUUUAGAACGUCGUGAGACAGUUCGGUCCCUAUCUGCCGUGGGCGUUGGAAGAUUGAAGGGGGCUGCUCCUAGUACGAGAGGACCGGAGUGGACGAACCUCUGGUGUUCGGGUUGUGUCGCCAGACGCAUUGCCCGGUAGCUAAGUUCGGAAUCGAUAACCGCUGAAAGCAUCUAAGCGGGAAGCGAGCCCUGAGAUGAGUCUUCCCUGAUACUUUAAGUAUCCUAAAGGGUUGUCGGAGACUACGACGUUGAUAGGUCAGGUGUGUAAGUGCUGUGAGGCAUUGAGCUAACUGAUACUAAUUGCCCGUGAGGCUUAACCAU